rnacentral:rRNA from 1 species
ACAUAGUCUUCAUUGUACUGUGUAUUAUGUCUUACGUAGUGUGCCUUGAAUAAAUCAGAGUGCUCAAAGCAAGCUAUCGCUUGAAUGUUAAUAGCAUGGAACGAAUGUAUAGUGUAAGUGCGCUAGUAAGCAUCAUUCGUGGUGUUUACUAGUACACAGCACCAACCGCGAAGCGGAACAUUGGUUACCGACUUCGGGUGAGGAUUAAGAGGGGCAUUUGGGGGCAUUAGUAUU